rnacentral:ribozyme from 1 species
UGCCCAGCAACUCUUAUCCCUACCUUCUCGUAGUACUGGCCGGGGUACGAGUAAUCUUAGGGAAGAUCAGGUAACCAACCCCCGGUGACUCUGGUUGUAUGCUAACAGAGAAGG